rnacentral:rRNA from 1 species
UACGUAGGUGGCAAGCGUUGUCCGGAAUUAUUGGGCGUAAAGCGCGCGCAGGCGGUCCUUUAAGUCUGAUGUGAAAGCCCACGGCUCAACCGUGGAGGGUCAUUGGAAACUGGGGGGACUUGAGUACAGAAGAGGAAAGCGGAAUUCCACGUGUAGCGGUGAAAUACGUAGAGAUGUGGAGGAACACCAGUGGCGAAGGCGGCUUUCUGGUCUGUAACUGACGCUGAGGCGCGAAAGCGUGGGGAGCAAACAGG